GCCCGCCUAGCUCAAUCGGAUAGAGCGUCAGACUUUUAAGCCCAAUUGAGUUGAAGAAUCUGAAGGCUGCGAGUUCGACCCUCGCGGUGGGCU